GAUUAACUGGUCAAGUAUUUUUUCAUCUCUCAAUUCAACUAAUUAAAUUCUCUAAAAUUGUUAGGUCCCUAAAAUAAAAUAGUUAUGGUGAUAACUGCAUCAUAGCCUCCCAUUAAGUUAGAUGAUAAUGAAUCCAAUAGUUUAGAUGAUCAUUAGAGGUGCCGUACGUCUGGAGCUCAUCUGACUGUCAGAAUUAUCAUUCAUAAUAUGUUGAUUUAGUUGUAUCUUUUUGAUGAUGGUCAGAUUGGUCGAGCCACACUCGGGUC
rnacentral:lncRNA from 1 species